rnacentral:rRNA from 1 species
UACGUAGGGGGCAAGCGUUGUCCGGAAUCAUUGGGCGUAAAGAGCGCGUAGGCGGCCCUGUAAGUCCGCUGUGAAAGUCAAGGGCUCAACCCUUGAAUGCCGGUGGAUACUGCAGGGCUAGAGUGCGGAAGAGGCGAGUGGAAUUCCGAGUGUAGAGGUGAAAUUCGUAGAUAUUCGGAAGAACACCAGUGGCGAAGGCGGCUCACUGGACCGGCAUUGACGCUGAUGUGCGAAAGCGUGGGGAGCAAACAGG